rnacentral:rRNA from 1 species
GAUGAACGCUGGCGGCGUGCCUAAUACAUGCAAGUCGAGCGAAUGGAUUAAGAGCUUGCUCUUAUGAAGUUAGCGGCGGACGGGUGAGUAACACGUGGGUAACCUGCCCAUAAGACUGGGAUAACUCCGGGAAACCGGGGCUAAUACCGGAUAACAUUUUGAACCGCAUGGUUCGAAAUUGAAAGGCGGCUUCGGCUGUCACUUAUGGAUGGACCCGCGUCGCAUUAGCUAGUUGGUGAGGUAACGGCUCACCAAGGCAACGAUGCGUAGCCGACCUGAGAGGGUGAUCGGCAACGAUGGGGCUGGGGAACGGCCCAGACUCCUACGGGAGGCAGCAGUAGGGAAUCUUCCGCAAUGGACGAAAGUCUGACGGAGCAACGCCGCGUGAGUGAUGAAGGCUUUCGGGUCGUAAAACUCUGUUGUUAGGGAAGAACAAGUGCUAGUUGAAUAAGCUGGCACCUUGACGGUACCUAACCAGAAAGCCACGGCUAACUACGUGCCAGCCGCCGCAGUAA